GCGAGUCUGUGAGUGUGUAGUGCAGGCAGGGAAAUGCAAUUCGACAGCAGCAGAAUGGCUCACACACACACACACACAUCUUUCUUCCCUAUGGCCAGAAAGAGAGAAAGAGAUGGAGAGAAUAUGGUUGGAUUGUGGAGAGUGAUGGAGGCAAGUCUGUGUCGGGGGAGAAUGAGCGAAAGAGAGGGAGAGAGAGAUUGAGCGACAGAGGUAGAAAGACCCAUACAUCAUGCAGGCUCAUAUCAUUUCCUUUGACAUGUCAUUUUCAUCUGCUCGAGGAGGAGAAGAAGAAAACAUUUAUUUUCCUGGCUGCCUGACCAAAAAAAGGGGACCAUCCGUCCAUAUAGAACUCUGACCCACACCGGCGAAGACAAACGAAGUAAAGAAGAAAAACCUGUCUAGUCUUUUUUAACGUUUCCUUAAUGCUUCCUUUCUGCUUGACAUUAUGCACCUAAACAGCUGUCUCCAGUCUAUGUGGAAAACUAUUUUGUGACACUGCAGUGUGUGGUGGAUUGGUUCUGGAUUGUUCACACCCUGAUGGGCAUGUGGUGUGUGCGGGGGGAGAGAGACUGGUUUUAUCCCAGAAGAUGAAGUGGUCAGUCAACAGUCCAGUGAAGAGUGUCAGACAGACACCCUGCAGUACAGCGGUACAUCUCUACAGCCAGGCUGGCUAGCACAGAGACACACACAGGGAGUAUCCACACCCAGCACACACACACACAGCCACGGGUAGAGUAUACUGGAGGAACAAGCCGCAUCAUUAAACCCCCAACUGAAGCACAGUCCUUGGUUUGAAGGUAUACAUGAGGUAAAAACAGACCUUGGGUUUAUUUGAGGAGAAAUUCUAACUGACAACCAAGGAAGAUUUUUUUUUUUUUCCCCAUCUUUCAUUUGCCCCUGAAUGUGCUUCUGUUGCUUAGGCCCAGCGCUUCUCUUUUUCAAAUGUUAAUUCGGGUUUUAUCCAGAUGGCAAAACUCAUUUCAGGCUUCAUGUACUGUAUGGAGAGUGGCUAUUGACAGGUGAAAUAAAGAUGUUUCGCCCCCA